GGUCAAGCGAACAAGUGCAUGUGGUGGAUGCCUUGGCGAUCACAGGCGAUGAAGGACGCGGUAGCCUGCGAAAAGCUACGGGGAGCUGGCAAACGAGCUUUGAUCCGUAGAUGUCCGAAUGGGGAAACCCGGCCCUUUUGGGUCAUCCUAGACUGAAUACAUAGGUCUAGUGAAGCGAACGCGGUGAACUGAAACAUCUAAGUAACCGCAGGAAAAGAAAUCAACCGAGAUUCCCAAAGUAGUGGCGAGCGAAAUGGGAUGAGCCUUGCACUCUUUAUUUGUAUUGUUAGCCGAACGCUCUGGAAAGUGCGGCCAUAGCAGGUGAUAGCCCUGUAGGCGAAAACAGUAUGAAAGAACUAGGUGUGCGACAAGUAGGGCGGGACACGUGAAAUCCUGUCUGAAGAUGGGGGGACCAUCCUCCAAGGCUAAAUACUCGUGAUCGACCGAUAGUGAACCAGUACCGUGAGGGAAAGGCGAAAAGAACCCCGGGAGGGGAGUGAAAUAGAUCCUGAAACCGCAUGCAUACAAACAGUCGGAGCCUCGUAAGGGGUGACGGCGUACCUUUUGUAUAAUGGGUCAGCGACUUACGUUCAGUAGCAAGCUUAACCGUAUAGGGCAGGCGUAGCGAAAGCGAGUCCGAAUAGGGCGUUCAGUUGCUGGGCGUAGACCCGAAACCAGGUGAUCUAUCCAUGGCCAGGAUGAAGGUGCGGUAACACGUACUGGAGGUCCGAACCCACUAACGUUGAAAAGUUAGGGGAUGAGCUGUGGAUAGGGGUGAAAGGCUAAACAAACCUGGAAAUAGCUGGUUCUCUCCGAAAACUAUUUAGGUAGUGCCUCGUGUCUCACCUUCGGGGGUAGAGCACUGUCAUGGUUGGGGGGUCUAUUGCAGAUUACCCCGCCAUAGCAAACUCCGAAUACCGAAGAGUGCAAUCACGGGAGACAGACAUCGGGUGCUAACGUCCGGUGUCAAGAGGGAAACAACCCAGACCGCCAGCUAAGGUCCCCAAAUAUAGCUAAGUGGGAAACGAAGUGGGAAGGCUAAAACAGUCAGGAGGUUGGCUUAGAAGCAGCCACCCUUUAAAGAAAGCGUAAUAGCUCACUGAUCGAGUCGUCCUGCGCGGAAGAUGUAACGGGGCUAAGCUAUAUACCGAAGCUGCGGAUGCGUGCUUUGCACGCAUGGUAGGAGAGCGUUCCGUAAGCCUGCGAAGGUGCCUUGUAAAGGGUGCUGGAGGUAUCGGAAGUGCGAAUGCUGACAUGAGUAGCGAUAAAGGGGGUGAAAGGCCCCCUCGCCGUAAGCCCAAGGUUUCCUACGCAACGUUCAUCGGCGUAGGGUGAGUCGGCCCCUAAGGCGAGGCAGAAAUGCGUAGCUGAUGGGAAGCAGGUCAAUAUUCCUGCACCAUUGUUAGAUGCGAUGGGGGGACGGAUCGCGGAAGGUUGUCCGGGUGUUGGAAGUCCCGGUCGCUGCAUUGGAGAAGGCGCUUAGGCAAAUCCGGGCGCGCAAUUCAAGGGUGUGGCGCGAGCUCCUUAGGGAGCGAAGCAAUUGGAAGUGGUUCCAAGAAAAGCCUCUAAGCUUCAGUCUAACGAUGACCGUACCGCAAACCGACACAGGUGGGCGAGAUGAGUAUUCUAAGGCGCUUGAGAGAACUCGGGAGAAGGAACUCGGCAAAUUGGUACCGUAACUUCGGGAUAAGGUACGCCCUUGUAGCUUGACUGGCCUGCGCCAGGAGGGUGAAGGGGUUGCAAUAAACUGGUGGCUGCGACUGUUUAAUAAAAACACAGCACUCUGCAAACACGAAAGUGGACGUAUAGGGUGUGACGCCUGCCCGGUGCCGGAAGAUUAAAUGAUGGGGUGCAAGCUCUUGAUUGAAGUCCCGGUAAACGGCGGCCGUAACUAUAACGGUCCUAAGGUAGCGAAAUUCCUUGUCGGGUAAGUUCCGACCUGCACGAAUGGCGUAACGAUGGCCACACUGUCUCCUCCCGAGACUCAGCGAAGUUGAAGUGUUUGUGAUGAUGCAAUCUACCCGCGGCUAGACGGAAAGACCCCAUGAACCUUUACUGUAGCUUUGCAUUGGACUUUGAACCGAUCUGUGUAGGAUAGGUGGGAGGCUAUGAAACCGGAACGCUAGUUUCGGUGGAGCCGUCCUUGAAAUACCACCCUGGUUUGUUUGAGGUUCUAACCUUGGCCCGUGAUCCGGGUCGGGGACAGUGCAUGGUAGGCAGUUUGACUGGGGCGGUCUCCUCCCAAAGCGUAACGGAGGAGUACGAAGGUACGCUAGGUACGGUCGGAAAUCGUGCUGAUAGUGCAAUGGCAUAAGCGUGCUUAACUGCGAGACCGACAAGUCGAGCAGGUGCGAAAGCAGGUCAUAGUGAUCCGGUGGUUCUGUAUGGAAGGGCCAUCGCUCAACGGAUAAAAGGUACUCUGGGGAUAACAGGCUGAUACCGCCCAAGAGUUCAUAUCGACGGCGGUGUUUGGCACCUCGAUGUCGGCUCAUCUCAUCCUGGGGCUGUAGCCGGUCCCAAGGGUAUGGCUGUUCGCCAUUUAAAGAGGUACGUGAGCUGGGUUUAAAACGUCGUGAGACAGUUUGGUCCCUAUCUGCCGUGGGCGUUGGAUAUUUGAAGGGGGCUGCUCCUAGUACGAGAGGACCGGAGUGGACGAACCUCUGGUGUACCGGUUGUCACGCCAGUGGCAUCGCCGGGUAGCUAUGUUCGGAAGAGAUAACCGCUGAAAGCAUCUAAGCGGGAAACUCGCCUUAAGAUGAGAUAUCCCUGGGGACUAGAUCCCCUUGAAGGGUCGUUCGAGACCAGGACGUUGAUAGGUCAGGUGUGUAAGCGCAGUAAUGCGUUCAGCUAACUGAUACUAAUUGCCCGUAAGGCUUGAUCCU
rnacentral:rRNA from 1 species